rnacentral:rRNA from 1 species
UACGGAGGGAGCUAGCGUUGUUCGGAAUUACUGGGCGUAAAGCGCGCGUAGGCGGCUUUGUAAGUUAGAGGUGAAAGCCCGGGGCUCAACCCCGGAAUUGCCUUUAAGACUGCAUCGCUUGAAUCCGGGAGAGGUGAGUGGAAUUCCGAGUGUAGAGGUGAAAUUCGUAGAUAUUCGGAAGAACACCAGUGGCGAAGGCGGCUCACUGGACCGGUAUUGACGCUGAGGUGUGAAAGCGUGGGGAGCAAACAGG